rnacentral:rRNA from 1 species
AGAGUUUGAUCCUGGCUCAGAACGAACGCUGGCGGCAGGCCUAACACAUGCAAGUCGAGGGAGAAGGCUACUUCGGUAACUAUUAGAGUGGCAAACGGGUGAGUAACACGUGGGAACGUACCUUUUGGUUGGGGACAACAGUUGGAAACGACUGCUAAUACCGGAUGAGCUCUACGGAGAAAAGAUUUAUCGCCAAAAGAUCGGCCCGCGCUAGAUUAGCUAGUUGGUAAGGUAAUGGCUUACCAAGGCUACGAUCUAUAGCUGGUUUGAGAGGAUGAUCAGCCACACUGGGACUGAGAUACGGCCCAGACUCCUACGGGAGGCAGCAGUGGGGAAUAUUGCACAAUGGACGAAAGUCUGAUGCAGCCAUGCCGCGUGAGUGAAGAAGGCCUUAGGGUUGUAAAACUCUUUUAACAGGGAAGAUAAUGACGGUACCUGUAGAAUAAGCACCGGCUAACUCCGUGCCAGCAGCCGCGGUAAUACGGAGGGUGCUAGCGUUAUUCGGAAUUACUGGGCGUAAAGCGAGCGUAGGCGGUUAGUAAAGUUGGAUGUGAAAGCCCGGGGCUCAACCUCGGAACUGCAUUCAAAACUCACUAACUAGAAUUCGGUAGAGGAUAGUGGAAUUCCUAGUGUAGAGGUGAAAUUCGUAGAUAUUAGGAGGAACACCAGUGGCGAAGGCGACUGUCUGGACCGAUAUUGACGCUAAGGCUCGAAAGCGUGGGGAGCAACAGGAUUAGAUACCCUGGUAGUCCACGCCGUAAACGAUGCUGCUAGUUUUGGCCCUGGGGGCAGUGACACAGCUAACGCGUAAGCAUGCCGCUGGGAGUACGUCGCAAGAUUAAACUCAAGGAAUUGACGGGGACCCGCACAAGCGUGGAGCAUGUGGUUAAUUCGAUGCAACGCGAAGAACCUUACCACCAUUUGACAUCCCGAUCGCGAGGACCAGAGAUGGACCUCUUCAGUUAGGCUGGAUCGGUGACAGGUGUUGCAUGGCUGUCGUCAGCUCGUGUCGUGAGAUGUUGGGUUAAGUCCCGCAACGAGCGCAACCCUCAUCCUUAUUUGCCAUCAGGUUAUGCUGGGAACUAUAAGGAAACUGCUCGUGAUAAGCGAGAGGAAGGUGGGGAUGACGUCAAGUCAUCAUGGCCCUUAUAUGGUGGGCUACACACGUGCUACAAUGGGAGUGACAAUGGGACGCUAGCCCGCGAGGGCGUGCAAAUCUCAAAAAGCUUCCUCAGUUCGGAUUGGAGUCUGCAACUCGACUCCAUGAAGUUGGAAUCGCUAGUAAUCGCGUAUCAGCAUGACGCGGUGAAUACGUUCCCGGGUCUUGUACACACUGCCCGUCACGCCAUGGGAGUUGGUUUUACCCGAAGCUGGUAGGCUAACCUUUUAGGAGGCAGCCGUCCACGGUAGGAUCAGUGACUGGGGUGAAGUCGUAACAAGGUAGCCGUA